GGAGGGGUACCGAAGCGGUCAUAACGGGGCGGUCUUGAAAACCGUUUGGGGCGCGAGUCCCGCGCAGGUUCGAAUCCUGUCCCCUCCGCCA
rnacentral:tRNA from 1 species